GCGGGAGUAGUUCAGUGGUAGAGCGUCAGCUUCCCAAGCUGAAUGUCGCGGGUUCGAACCCCGUCUCCCGCUCCA
rnacentral:tRNA from 1 species